AAAGUCGUAACAAGGUCUCCGUUGGUGAACCAGCGGAGGGAUCAUUACAGAGUUAUCUAACUCACCAAAACCCCUGUGAACUUACCUAUGUUGCCUCGGCGGGGAAGCCUACUCGGUAGCCAGCUGCCCUGUAGGCCUACCCGUCGGCGGCCCAUUCAAACUCUGUUUUAUUUUGGCACUUCUGAAUUAUAUAAUAAAUUUGUUAAAACUUUCAACAACGGAUCUCUUGGUUCUG
rnacentral:misc_RNA from 1 species